rnacentral:rRNA from 1 species
GAAGGUUGCCGUCUGAGUGGAUUUAUCCAAUCGUUUAAAACUUUCAACAACGGAUCUCUUGGUUCCGGCAUCGAUGAAGAACGCAGCGAAACGCGAUAGUUAAUGUGAAUUGCAGAAUUCAGUGAAUCAUCGAGUCUUUGAACGCACAUUGCGCCCCUUGGUAUUCCGGGGGGCAUGCCUGUCCGAGCGUCAUUGCUGCCCUCAAGCCCGGCUUGUGUGUUGGGCCGCCGUCCCCCGCCCCGGGGGACGGGCCCGAAAGGCAGCGGCGGCACCGCGUCCGGUCCUCGAGCGUAUGGGGCUCUGUCACCCGCUCUGGAGGCCCGGCCGGCGCCUGCCCACCCCAAUCUUUUUUAACAAGGUUGACCUCGGAUCAGGUAGGGAUACCCGCUGAACUUAAGCAUAUCAAUAAGCGGAGGAAAAGAAACCAACC